rfam:Clostridium sp. CAG:349 genomic scaffold, scf115
UGCAGAGUAGAUAAGUCGCGUUAAGUGUUGCGGGAUGGAAUGUCGCCCGCAAACGAAAGGGAAACCUGCGGUGGCUUGUCGCGUUCGCUGCG